UACUUGACCUAGAGCGGCGCACGGGUGCGUAACGCGUAUGCAACCUACCUUUUACUGGGGGAUAGCCCGGAGAAAUCUGGAUUAAUACCCCAUAGUACCUAAGGAUCGAUUGGUUUUUAGUUUAAAGAUUUAUCGGUAAAAGAUGGGCAUGCGUCUGAUUAGCUAGUUGGCGGGGUAACGGCCCACCAAGGCGACGAUCAGUAGGGGUUCUGAGAGGAAGGUCCCCCACACUGGCACUGAGAUACGGGCCAGACUCCUACGGGAGGCAGCAGUAGGGAAUAUUGGGCAAUGGUCGCAAGACUGACCCAGCCAUGCCGCGUGCAGGAAGACGGCCCUCUGGGUUGUAAACUGCUUUUAUCUGGGAAGAAAAAGUCCAUGCGUGGAAAAUUGCCGGUACCAGAUGAAUAAGCACCGGCUAACUCCGUGCCAGCAGCCGCGGUAAUACGGAGGGUGCAAGCGUUGUCCGGAUUUAUUGGGUUUAAAGGGUGCGU
rnacentral:rRNA from 1 species